UGCAGAGUUCAGCGUGGGGUGAAUGGUGUUGUUCCUCACCACAGUGUUGCUCUUACGUCGCGGAGUGGUGAGGUGGUGUGGCGGCCAGCCCUCUGGUGGAGCACAUCGCACAGCACUCUCCACGUUAAUUUCUCGCAAAGUGAAGCAAAACUCAACUUAUGUGUAUAGAGUACUUUCCACUCAGAAUGACAUGUGUAUAGAGUACUUUCCACUCAGAAUGACUUGAACUAUCACAUCGCAAAGUACAGGACCUUAACUCACUGGACGUGCACCCAGUGUUGCCACUCUAGAAUUUCAGAAAACACAAGAUUGUCCCUCCAAAAAAGACUAGAUUGACCGAAAAACAACUAGAUCUCCGUAACUUCUUCCCGUUAUUCCCACGCUAAUGACAUAUGAGGCUUUUGUUUUUUUCAUAGUCAUUUUCUUGGCAGUUUCACAGUCAGGAAACAUCUUUUUCAUUAACUCAACCAAAUGGUCUGCCUGGGAAAAUGCUAUUCCAUGUUCUGCCAUAUAUCCACACAACAAUAAUUCUGCAUUGUUAACUUUAUCUUUCGGGUCUUCCACUGAUUUCUUUAAGAAAUGCUGAAUAUUCA